rnacentral:rRNA from 1 species
ACCAGGCAUGCCGCGUGCAAGAUGACGGCUCCUACUGGAUUGUAAACUGCAUUUUGUACAGGAAGAAACACCCCGACGUGUCGGGACUUGACGGUACUGUAAGAAUAAGGAUCGGCUAACUCCGUGCCAGCAGCCGCGGUAAUACGGAGGAUCCAAGCGUUAUCCGGAAUCAUUGGGUUUAAAGGGUCCGUAGGCGGCUUAAUAAGUCAGUGGUGAAAUCCCUACGCUUAACGUAGGAACGGCCAUUGAUACUGUUAGGCUUGAAUUAUUAGGAAGUAACUAGAAUAUGUAGUGUAGCGGUGAAAUGCUUAGAGAUUACAUGGAAUACCAAUUGCGAAGGCAGGUUACUACUAAUGGAUUGACGCUGAUGGACGAAAGCGUGGGUAGCGAACAGGAUUAGAUACCCUGGUAGUCCACGCCGUAAACGAUGGAUACUAGCUGUUGGAAGCAAUUUCAGUGGCUAAGCGAAAGUGAUAAGUAUCCCACCUGGGGAGUACGUUCGCAAGAAUGAAACUCAAAGGAAUUGACGG